CUGGCUCAGAGCGAACGCUGGCGGCAGGCUUAACACAUGCAAGUCGAGCGGGCAUCUUCGGGUGUCAGCGGCGGACGGGUGAGUAACGCGUGGGAACGUGCCUUCUGGUUCGGAAUAACCCUGGGAAACUAGGGCUAAUACCGGAUACGCCCUUUUGGGGAAAGGUUUACUGCCGGAAGAUCGGCCCGCGUCUGAUUAGCUAGUUGGUGGGGUAACGGCCUACCAAGGCGAC
rnacentral:rRNA from 1 species